rnacentral:rRNA from 1 species
UACGGAGGGAGCUAGCGUUGUCCGGAAUUAUUGGGCGUAAAGAGCUCGUAGGCGGUUUGUCGCGUCUGCUGUGAAAACUGGAGGCUCAACCUCCAGCCUGCAGUGGGUACGGGCAGACUAGAGUGCGGUAGGGGAGACUGGAAUUCCUGGUGUAGCGGUGAAAUGCGCAGAUAUCAGGAGGAAUACCGGUGGUGUAGACGGCUCUCUGGACCGCCACUGACGCUGAGACACGAAAGCGUGGGUAGCAAACAGG